GUGAGAUGAUGCUGGGUAAAGACACUUGAUGCCAAGCCUGAGGACCUGAGUUUGAUACCCAGAACUCCUAUGGUGGAAGAAUGGACUUUUGAAAGUUGUUCUCUGACCACACAGCCAGCUCCAACUCCACUGCUCUGCUGCCCUAAGAGAGAAUUCGGUGGCCACUCUAGUAUGUGUUAACAGACAGUGACAUCAUUUCGAAGCAGGAAACGGCUCUCGGGUUACCAUCAAAUUGACCUAAGCUUCAGAAGGAUUACAGGACAGACCUCUGCUAUGUGUGGGGAUGCCAUUCCAGCUAAAUCAAAGGUUAAAGGUCAGACAGCAAAGCUCUUCCCAGUGGUCUUUAUUUAUGCUUCUCAGAGUUGGGAUGGGGAAACGUCUUGAGGAAGAGGGAUGGCUCAGGCACACCAAAACUCGCCCUCUUCAUUACUUCCCCUGCCGAGAGGUGUGUGCUUCCCAUCCCCCCUCACUCCCCUCUGAAGGACAGGUGAGGAAGUACUGGUGCCCCUAACUGGCCAUCUUGGUGAGGCGAUUGGGCAGUGGUUCCCAGAAAGUCUUACCUGAUAACCGAUGGGUUAAUAGUCAUCCAUACUUGUGCCAAAAGAUGGUUUUUUCUUAUUCUGAUGACUUGGGAAGAAGUGAGGUCAGCAUCUUAAACAGCAAAUCAUAAUGUCAAAGGAGUGGUGGGGACAUUUGUGGACAGUGACUGGACCGUAUAAUCCAUGUGACACCAC